GGAGAAGGAAAUGGCAACCCACUCCAGUGUUCUUGCUUGGAGAAUCCCAGGGAUGGGGGAGCCUGUUGGGCUGCCGUCUCUGGGGUCACACAGAGUUGGACACGACUGAAGCGACUUAGCAGCAGCAGCAGCAGAGUGUUUAUGAACAUGAGGAUCCUGUGUCAUUCGGACAGACAGCCGUGCAAGGUAGACAGAAGAAGUGAAGAAGUGAAGUCGCUCAGUCGUGUCGGACUCUUUGCGACCCUGUAGACUGUAGCCUGCCAGGAUCCUCUGUCCAUGGGAUUCUCCAGAACUCCCCUGACCAGAGAUUGAACUCAUGCCACCUGAAGUGGAAGCAUGAAGUCUUAACCACUGGGCAAGUCCUACCUCUCAGUGGUUUUUUUUUAAAGCAAGUAGGUUUCCCUAAAAAAUGGGACUUUAAACUUAGUGAUUACAC
ensembl:lncRNA